rnacentral:rRNA from 1 species
CCUACGGGAGGCAGCAGUGAGGAAUAUUGGUCAAUGGCCGGAAGGCUGAACCAGCCAUGCCGCGUGAAGGUCAGUGCCCUAUGGGCGUUAAACUUCUUUUGUGCGGGAGCAAUAAUGGUCACGUGUGGCCAGACGAGGGUACCGUACGAAUAAGCAUCGGCUAACUCCGUGCCAGCAGCCGCGGUAAUACGGGGGAUGCAAGCGUUAUCCGGAUUUAUUGGGUUUAAAGGGUGCGUAGGCUGUGAGGUAAGUCAGCGGUGAAAUGCCCCCGCGCAACGGGGUGAAGUGCCAUUGAUACUGCCUGGCUGGAAUGCGGAUGCCGUGGGAGGAAUGUGUGGUGUAGCGGUGAAAUGCAUAGAUAUCACACAGAACACCGAUUGCGAAGGCAUCUCACGAAUCCGCGAUUGACGCUGAUGCACGAAAGCGUGGGUAUCAAACAGGAUUAGAUACCCGAGUAGUC